GGUGGCUCAGUGGUAGAGUUCUUGCCUUGCAUGCAAGAGGCCCUGGGUUCAAUUCCUCAGUACCA
rnacentral:tRNA from 1 species